rnacentral:rRNA from 1 species
AGUGAACGCUGGCGGUAGGCCUAACACAUGCCAGUCGAACGGCAGCACAGUAAGAGCUUGCUCUUACGGGUGGCGAGUGGCGGACGGGUGAGGCAUACAUCGGAAUCUACUUUUUCGUGGGGGAUAACGUAGGGAAACUUCCGCUAAUACCGCAUACGACCUACGGGUUAAAGCAGUGGAUCUUCGGACCUUUCGCGAUUGUAUGAGCCGAUGUCGGAUUAGCUAGUUGGCGGGGUAAAGGCCCACCAAGGCGACGCUCCGUAGCUGGUCUGAGAGGAUGAUCAGCCACACUGGAACUGAGACACGGUCCAGACUCCUACGGGAGGCAGCAGUGGGGAAUAUUGGACAAUGGGCGCAAGCCUGAUCCAGCCAUACCGCGUGGGUGAAGAAGGCCUUCGGGUUGUAAAGCCCUUUUGUUGGGAAAGAAAAGCAGCAGGUUAAUACCCCGCUGUUCUGACGGUACCCAAAGAAUAAGCACCGGCUAACUUCGUG